rnacentral:rRNA from 1 species
AGUGAACGCUGGCGGCGUGCUUAACACAUGCAAGUCGAACGAAGUGGCGAACGGGUGAGUAACGCGUAAUCAACCUGCCCUUCAGAGGGGGACAACAGUUGGAAACGACUGCUAAUACCGCAUACUGAAGGGGGGGAUUGCGUCGGAUUAACUAGUUGGAGGGGUAACGGCCCACCAAGGCGAUGAGCAGUAGCCGGUCUGAGAGGAUGAACGGCCACAUUGGUACUGAGACACGGCCCAGACUCCUACGGGAGGCAGCAGUGGGGAAUAUUGCGCAAUGGGGGCAACCCUGACGCAGCCAUGCCGCGUGAAUGAAGAAGGCCUUCGGGUUGUAAAGUUCUUUCGGUAGCGAGGCGUUAACUACAGAAGAAGCACCGGCUAACUCCGUGCCAGCAGCCGCGGUAAUUC